CACACACACACACACACACACACACACACACACACACACACACACACACACACACACAAUGGGCUUAUGUUAUAAUAUUCAUACACACAGCAUUCUAAGAUACAACUAUAGCCAUCAAACUGUUUGCCAUAAAUUAAACUGGAGGUUAUACAAAUGAAGUUAACCAUGAGGAUAUGAUAUAUGUAUAAUACAAUAUAUUAAAAAAAAAAAAUCAUAUUAGUCUAAUUUUUGAAGCUCUCCGCAUUGAACUCUGGAAUGUCCCAGUGUCCCUGAACGCGCCACGGUCAAAUUGAACUGCUCAACGUCUACCAACAGCAGUUCCUUUGAGAAGAAGACUGGUCCAUCGUUGUUCCUGUUUCUCCUCUCCCAUCCCACCCCACCCCACCCUGGAA